GAUGAACGCUGGCGGCGUGCCUAAUACAUGCAAGUCGAGCGAACAGACGAGGAGCUUGCUCCUCUGACGUUAGCGGCGGACGGGUGAGUAACACGUGGAUAACCUACCUAUAAGACUGGGAUAACUUCGGGAAACCGGAGCUAAUACCGGAUAAUAUAUUGAACCGCAUGGUUCAAUAGUGAAAGACGGUUUUGCUGUCACUUAUAGAUGGAUCCGCGCCGCAUUAGCUAGUUGGUAAGGUAACGGCUUACCAAGGCGACGAUGCGUAGCCGACCUGAGAGGGUGAUGGGCCACACUGGAACUGAGACACGGUCCAGACUCCUACGGGAGGCAGCAGUAGGGAAUCUACCGCAAAGGGCGAAAGCCUGACGGAGCAACGCCGCGUGAGUGAUGAAGGUCUUCGGAUCGUAAAACUCUGUUAUGAGGGAAGAACAAAUGUGUAAGUAACUAUGCACGUCUUGACGGUACCUAAUCAGAAAGCCACGGCUAACUACGU
rnacentral:rRNA from 1 species